rnacentral:rRNA from 1 species
AAUAUUGGACAAUGGGCAAAAGCCUGAUCUAGCCACGCCGCGUGUGUUAAGAAUGUCUNCGGUAUNUNAAGCACUUUAUGUUGGGNGGAAGGGCAGUAAGUUAAUAUCUUGCUGUUUGGACGUUACCGAAAGAACAAGUAACGGCUAACUUCUUUCCAGCAGCCGGGGUAAUACGAAGGGUGCAAGCGUUAAUCGGAAUUACUGGGCGUAAAGCGCGCGUAGGUGGUUUGUUAAGUAGGAAGGGAAAGCCCCGGGCUCAACCUGGGAAAUGCUUUCAAAACUGGCAAGCUAGAGUAUAGCAGAGGGUGUUGGAAUUUCCUGUGUAGCCGUGAAAUGAGUAGAUAUAGGAAGGAACACCAAUGGCGAAGACGACCACCUAGGCUAAUACUGACACUGAGGUGCGAAAGCGUGGGGAGCAAAC